GACGAACGCUGGCGGCGUGCUUAACACAUGCAAGUCGAACGGAAAGGCCCUGCUCUUGUGGGGUGCUCGAGUGGCGAACGGGUGAGUAACACGUGAGUAGCCUGCCCUUGACUUUGGGAUAACUUCAGGAAACUGGGGCUAAUACCGGAUAGGAGCUCCUGCUGCAUGGUGGGGGUUGGAAAGUUUCGGCGGUUGGGGAUGGACUCGCGGCUUAUCAGCUUGUUGGUGGGGUAGUGGCUUACCAAGGCUUUGACGGGUAGCCGGCCUGAGAGGGUGACCGGCCACAUUGGGACUGAGAUACGGCCCAGACUCCUACGGGAGGCAGCAGUGGGGAAUAUUGCACAAUGGGCGGAAGCCUGAUGCAGCAACGCCGCGUGCGGGAUGACGGCCUUCGGGUUGUAAACCGCUUUCGCCUGUGACGAAGCGUGAGUGACGGUAAUGGGUAAAGAAGCACCGGCUAACUACGUG
rnacentral:rRNA from 1 species